rnacentral:rRNA from 1 species
UACGUAGGGAGCAAGCGUUGUCCGGAAUCAUUGGGCGUAAGCGCGCGUAGGUGGCCUCAUAAGUCCGCUGUGAAAGUCAAAGGCUCAACCUUUGAAAGCCGGUCGGAUACUGUGAGGCUAGAGUACGGAAGAGGCGAGUGGAAUUCCCGGUGUAGUGGUGAAAUGCGUAGAUAUCGGGAGGAACACCAGUGGCGAAGGCGACUACCUGCCU